GAAGGUAUAGCACAGUGGUAGAGUGUGUGCUUAGCAUGAACGAUGUCCUGGGUUCAAUACCCAGUAUCUCCA
rnacentral:tRNA from 1 species